rnacentral:rRNA from 1 species
UACGUAGGGUGCAAGCGUUGUCCGGAAUUAUUGGGCGUAAAGAGCUCGUAGGCGGUCUGUCGCGUCGGCUGUGAAAACCCGAGGCUCAACCUCGGGCCUGCAGUCGAUACGGGCAAACUGGAGUGUUGCAGGGGAGACUGGAAUUCCUGGUGUAGCGGUGAAAAUGCGCAGAUAUCAAGGAGGAACACCGGUGGCGAAGGCGGGUCUCUGGG